AAGAAGAAAAAGGUAGGCUCCUUUAUUGCAGUGGCAGGAAGAGAAAUGAGCAGAACAUUGGACUCAUCAGUCCCAAAGAAAAAGAAGAAUGCACUUUUGAAAUGUUUGAACCCCACCCCUGCAAAUCCUGGGCUACCUGCAGACACCUUCACUACCUCAGCACAGCCCAUCGAUGCAGCAUCAGGUGUGUGUGUGUGUGGGGGGGGGUUGUUUCUAAAAUGCAGACAAAAUGCAGUUUCUGUGUGAGUGUAUGAACACAAUGAUCGGUGGUGGAAUUGGCUGCAAUGUAAGGAGCAUCAGCUAAAAUCUUGUCUAGCGCACCAAAUUGGUCAGGAACAGCCCUGCUGAGAGGGAUGGAAGUGCAGGUAAUUGUGCUUUAAUAAGAACAAUUUGACAAAUCCAAAAAACGCUAGGCAGAAUCUAGAUCACAAAACAGGCAAAAGUCAGAUGAUCAGACCUGGAUAAACCAGGCAAAGACAACAGAUGUGUAUUGAGAAACUAGGCAAGGACAAACCAGAAUAACAAUCACAGUAUAACAGGCUGAGUACUGUCAGAUGUACAGAGAUAUAUAUAAUAUGUCUAUAAUAUGUAUAUAUGUAUAAUAUAUGUAAAUAUGCUGCAUAUAUAUUUUUGUGUGUGUGUGUGUGUGUGUGUGUGUGUGUGUGUGAUAUGGAACAGGUGUGCUCACUCAAAAGUCCAGUGAUUGUGAACGUGGCAGAGUGUGUAAGUUCUGGGGAGUGAGGUCCAUGUUUAUAGGCCGAGGUGUGUGUUGGGAAGUGAAGCUUGCUGACUGGGUUGCCCUGACAAUGGAGCAGCAAUUUGCAUUGUAUUAAUGUACUGUAGGUAGCCCAGGGAGAGUUUAUUUCUGUAGUUUCUGUCAGUAAUGGACAUUAGAUUAAUAGUAACAUGUUUUACCAUUGUAUUUAUCAAAUAAUGUUCCAGUAAUGGUAGUCCAGUCAUACUUUUACUGCUAUGCUCAAUAAUAAAGUUUUUUUUUGUUGUUGUUGUCAUUUUAGUCCAUUCAGUUCCAUUCAAACAAUUCAGUUGCAUGGUUUGCCCAAAUUUGCAACCUGAUAAAGCAG
ensembl:lncRNA